GACGAACGCUGGCGGCGUGCCUAAUACAUGCAAGUAGGACGCAGUUGCGAACGGGUGAGUAACGCGUAGGUAACUGCCUAUUAGAGGGGGAUAACUAUUGGAAACGAUAGCUAAUACCGCAUACUAGUAGAUUGACCUGCGUUGUAUUAGCUAGUAGGUAGGGGAAUGGUCUACCUAGGCGACGAUACAUAGCCGACCUGAGAGGGUGAUCGGCCACACUUGGACUUGGACAACGCCCAGACUCCUACGGGAGGCAGCAGGAGGGAAUCUUCGGCAAUGGGGGGCACCCUGACCAAGCAACGGCGCGGGAGUGAAGAAGGGUUUCGGAGCGUAAAGCUCUGUUGUGAAGGAAGCGGUACUUAACCAGAAAGGGACGGCUAACUACGUGCCAGCCGCCGCGGUAAUUC
rnacentral:rRNA from 1 species